AGCGUAGAGAGACGGAGAAACGAUUUAAACCACCGUUUGAACCAUGACUUCGGUUUGUCAGUGCUGUGAGAAAACUGAACCACCGAUGAAGCCUGGAUGUUAAAACAAACUAUGGAGCUGCUUUUUGUCGAACACCAGUGAGACUGGACGCUGAACACAACUGCGGCGUGAAGGUUGACUUGUUCAGCUGCUCAUCAACAGAAACAUCAACAUCAUCUUACAGACCAACAGGUGUCACUACUUCAUCCAUGACAUCGUCCAUGAUCGCAGAGACAUUGUCCAUGAUCAGAGACAUUGUCCCAUGCUUUGUAGAGACCUGCGCAAGAAUCAGCAGAGACAGGGGUCACCGAUUCGAUGGCAUUGCCCUGCAAUCAUGGAGACAUUGUCAGUGGUCACAGAGACACUGUCUGUGAUCUCAGAGACAUUGUCAGUGGUCACAGAGACACUGUCUGUGAUCUCAGAGACAUUGUCCAUGAUCACAACAACAUAGUACGUAAUCUCAGAGACAUUGUCCGUGAUCACAGAGACGUAGUCCAUGAUCACAGAGAGUCUUCAUACGAUGAGGAAGUUCUUUGAGACCAGGACAGAGUCCUCCAGCUGAAUUCACAGAAAAAACAGGAUCUACCAAAGGAGAAGAUGAUUAGAUGAGCAGCUGAAGACCUGAAGUGGAUGAAAGAAAAUAAGUGUUACAAAGCUGUUAACCAAAGACCUCCAUCAUCUAACUGCUGUCAAAUGUUGAUCUCCUGUUGUUCAAGUGUACCAUACGUAAUGCAGUCAUUGGCACAUUUUCCAAAGUAUAAUAUGUAGUAUUUAAUUAAUAACUGUCUCACAAACAGUUAACAAUCACAGAGAUGCUGCGCAGACAUGUUCAUCUAUGGAAGUUACUACAUUAAUUUUCUAUGGUUUCAUGCUUAACUUUUAAAAGGUUUUAUGGUCAUUAUUCAGACAUAUUUUAGGUUGACGGUUUAUAUUAAUCUUUAAAGGUUUUGUACUUAACUUUUUAUGGGUUUGACUUGUUUAGACAUUUAUUUAAGUUUCUAUUUUACAGGCUUCAUACUUAAUUCUUAGAGCUGCAUUUUACAUUAUUGAAAAAUACUAAUUAAGACCAAUUAAAACUGACAAGUUACUGCAGCUGAGAUAAUGACAGUCAGACUGAAAGGAAUAAACUAACACUGACCUU